rnacentral:sRNA from 1 species
AGAGCCACAGGCUUCCCUCAAAACAUCUCACAAGUCAGAUGCAGGCAUGAGGACAGAUGGAGAAACAUCACAGAGCCGUCAUUUCUGGAAAUUGACUCAACACGUAAGAGGAGCACUGGAUGAAUGCUUAGAGCAGAUAUCUAAAACCCAGGUCUAAUGCCAAGGAGGCGGUUGUCCCCCUGCUGUCUGGCAGAGGAUCACACUCAGAAACAGAUUGGUUUAUGCUAUGCUCAUCUGCUGUCCCUGUGUCUUCACAGAGGGGAUCUAAGCUGACAGAGCUGGGAUUCAGAGCUAUGCCUUCCAGCUCCCUAACACAGGCUUGAGAAGACCUGCAUGCUGAGACGGGGUUCCCCAACAUGUUGGGUAAGUAAAAUCCUCAUGCGUUUUGCAACGAUGGCGGUCUCUGUGCUCUUUGUGGGUGAGGAUCUUUUAGCGACCUACAACAGUCCUGAGGAUGGUGUGGCAGGAGCACUGUAAGCAUCCUUGAAUCUGGAUUUCAAAAGUAAAGACAGAGGCAGGAAAAAGAAGUUGAAAAGAAGCCUAGUGGUUGGCCCAAGGAUGAAAUACAGCGACAGCUAGGGGCUGUGACCUCACACAAGAGGAUAAGCCCGGGAUGGAGGUUGGUGUGUGCCAGGAGACUCUGUGAGGUGGUACAUUUUUCUGGAUUCAAAAACAAGAUGUGUUUUUAAAAACCAAAUGAAAUCACCUAAAGCUCAAAGAGUAUCAGCCUCGGAGGGAAGGACAUUAAAGCCUGAACGCAGAUGGCUCCACUCACAAGGCAGUGUCUUUAUCCCUUACCUUGUUCCCCCUACAGACUUACACCUGCCCCCGGGAGAAGAAAAGAGACAACACAGUGAGGAAGCUUUCUGUCUAUAUGCCUGGUUUAUAAACAAUCACUGUCUGAGAAAUCCUUGCACGCUAACUAUUUACACCUAAUAAAAUAUGGUUAUAUUUGUGUGAG